AGAACAUAAGGACCAGCUCAUUUGUCCCAGACAGAGGUGUCUGUGCGUUUCACGUGGAUACAGGCAUGUUGUAGGGCUGGAGGUGCCCCACCCCUUCUGUUCCAUAACGAAAAGGCAUAGCUUCCUUAACAAACACGUCAACAUAAUGUACCAUUCAUCCAAAUGCAGGCUGACCGUCUCCCAAACUGUGUAAAAACCCAGUGCAGCUGCAGAUCUUAAGAACCACCCCAGCUCCCUGUCUGUUGCAAACCACCUAGCACCACAUCAGCAGACAUGAUCAUCAGACUCGGCAGACUGACACCUGGAUAUUUCCGUCUCCUCCAGAGGCAAGUUGCUGGUGAGGUGCAGGUGCAGCCACAAGACCGUGCUAUCAACCAGAUAGCCAUGAUGUUGGCCAUCAUGGGCCUGAGUUUGUCCUAUUACAGUGCCAAACAGAUGACAGAGGAGGUCCAGGCCCAGGCUGCGCCCUGAAGAGACUUGGCUGCUCUGAUUGUGGACAUAAUGUAUGAGCUAGAGAUAACUGAAGGAGGUGUUGUGAGGAGUGGAGACAUGGCGGUGUCUUCCAGGACCACACUUGUCUCACUUCAGUCACAUUAAGACCUGAUUUUUAGGAUUCCUUAUUCACCAUGUGCAGCAUUUUCAGGGUUGCUGCUAAGUGUUUUCUGUUGUCAGGAAUUGGGGUCACGGAUAGAUUGGUUUUAUGGACAGGUUUGGGUGGGUGAUCAAAACCAGCUGACUGCCAACUGGCUUUAACCAUUAGUCGUUACAAAGGUAGAUGCUCACAAGAUGCAGCCAAUACUGUUUAAAGCUACAAAAAGUUAAAACGGGGAGGGCUCUUAACUCUGCUCAGCCUGUCUAAAUAGGGUCAAAUACCAUGACCAGCAGAGCCUUUUAAAGGAAGGCUAUUUUAUUUUAACAAAGAUGUAUUUUUGUAAUGAAGUCCAGAACAUAGUUAAAACAGAUGCAAAGUUGAGUCAGUCCCUUCCAGGUUUUUCCCCUUUCACAAGUGAACCUUAUGGAUCAGGAACUGCACUGUCAUUGUGUAUAUCUAUUCAGUGUCAGGGAUUCAGUGAAUAUUUUUACAAAACUGCAGAAACAUUUUAAAUACAAUACACUUACAAAGGGUGUCUGUGAUUUCACGCUGUUUUAAUAAUCAAAAUGUUACCAGGAAGUGACUACUUUCAUAAAACCAUGGUUAAGACCUCUUGCUGCACUAUCUACUACAUGUUAAUGCAAACCUUUAACUGUACUGAACAUUGCAUGGGUGUGCAGGUUUCUGUUCAAAUCAAAAUUCAUGAGUCUGUCUUUUAUUGAUGAAUGAAUAUAUUUUUAUGAUUUAAUAAAGCUGUGAAUAUACUGAAUGGAUAGUGGAUAUAUAGUAGUGCCGUCUGAAGUAUUGAAUGCCAACAGGUAUUCCUAAACUCUCUGUAAAUUAAAACAAACCUCAGGUUGGCAUUGAAAGCUGCAGAGCUUUGGUACUUCCUCAAGUCAGAGAAUCAGUGGUGUCCGCUUGCACGCAACAGGAAGCAGCCAGGCUGGUGCACAUGUUGUCUCUUUCUUUAACUGAGCUAGUGUUUUCUCUUUCCUCACCAGUUCAUGUGUCCUGUGCACACGCAAGCACAAAUUUUUUUAUGAAAUGGGGAAAAGGUGUGGUUUUGCUGGAGUAUCAGACAAGGAAGCUUAUGCAUUUGAGCAAUAAACAGCUUUUUGGAAGGCAAUCAAGGUGUAAGGAGAACACGCCCAUGGAGUUCUUGUUCUACAUUAACCUGGGACAUCAGGUUUUCUCUCAGUAUGUUGUCUUAUGGCAUUUAGGCUAGAUUACUGAGUCUGUGUGCUAUGAAUAAAGCAAAAAUUGAAGGUUUAUAGUAUAAGAUGAAGUGUAUGAUAUUUGAAGAGAUCAAGGAGGAUUUGGGUUGGCUAGUUUGUGCAUAUGAAGAAAAGAAUUGUAUCCCGCACUGAUUUAAUGCUCCAGGACGAUGUUUCAACAGACUUCAUCAGGCAUUCACAGCUUGUACUCUGACCUCACUUGUUCAAAUUGAUGGCAGGUGUGACACCACACCCAGAUUAGGUGACAUAUAUUUUCACCCACCCACCACAUGACAAUACAAACAUCUUAUUAAAGAUCCAUCCAAUAAUUUAUUUAAAAAAAACCUCAUUAUACCAGUUAUGUCCAUUACAUCUGCUCCCUUUUCUCUCCCCAUUUUUAAAGAUGGCAACUGCAAGUGUGGUAGGUGCACUCAGCAGAUUUACACCCACCACUGCAGGUCAUUUAAUCACCCUCACAAGAAUCAGAACAUCAAAAUUCAUGGUGUGAUUCCCUACAGCACUGCACAUGUAGUUUAUUUGAUAAAGUGUCCAUGUGGGCUUGUCUGUGUUUAGCAAAACUACUUACCCUUUACACACACACACACAUUACUGAGCACAUAUCUAAUAUUAGAUGUGCCAAACCAAGAAGUCCAGUGGCAACACAUUUCAAUAACGAAGGACACAAAAUUAGUUCCAUGAGAUACAUUGAUAUUGGAACAGUUUCCAUUUCUUUAAGGGUUUAGGUCAAGAUAAAAGCCUUAUCCAAAGGUAGACAGAUUUAUAUUUAGAACCCACUGUCUGCACAUGAACUAAAUGAGGACUUCUUAACUCUCAGACCUUUUCUGUAGGUUCAGAUGAUGAUGAAUUGGAUCUGUGUAUAUGAUCUUUAUAGUUUAUUUGGGUGCAAAAGUUGUGUAUGGACUGAAAGCAAUACAUAUUUGUAUUGUUGACCUAAUGAGGGAUUUUUUAAAAUAAAUUAUUGGAUGUAUUUAUAGUAAGAUGUGGUUGUAUUUGUGAUGUGGUGGGUGGGUGAAAAUAUUUUUGAGAAAACUGAUGUUUUGCUGUUGUCUUUGUGCUGAUUAAUCUGGGUGUGGUGUCACCUGACAUCAGUUUGAAUGAGUCUAUAUAUAUGUCAUAUGAAGACUUAAUGUUGAAAUGUCAUUGGCGUGGCACCUUGGCCUGAAUAAACAUAAUUUCU